rnacentral:rRNA from 1 species
AUUGAACGCUGGCGGCAGGCCUAACACAUGCAAGUCGAACGAGUGGCGGACGGGUGAGUAAUGUCUGGGAAACUGCCCGAUGGAGGGGGAUAACUACUGGAAACGGUAGCUAAUACCGCAUACCAUCGGAUGUGCCCAGAUGGGAUUAGCUUGUAGGUGAAGUAACGGAUCACCUAGGCGCCGAUCCCUAGCUGGUCUGAGAGGAUGACCAGACACAAUGGAACUGAGACAAGGUGCAGACGAUUAAGGUAGGCAGCAGUGGUGAAUAUUGAAACAUGGGUGAAAGCCUGAUGAAGCCAGCACGUGUGUAUGAAGAAGGACGUCGAUUUGUAAAGUACUGCUGGCGGGGAGGCGGUAUCUGCAGAAGAAGUACCGGCGAACUCCGUGCCAGCAGCCGCGGUAAUUC